rnacentral:tRNA from 1 species
UGUCGCUCUCGAUGGUGGCGAACGAUGCCGCCUCGCAAGCGGCCCUCUGGAGCGACAUCAAGAAUCCGCUGUUCAACGCGCAGGGCGGCCA